rnacentral:rRNA from 1 species
CCUACGGGAGGCAGCAGUGAGGAAUAUUGGUCAAUGGGCUUACGCCUGAACCAGCCAAGUCGCGUGAGGGAAGACUGCCCUAUGGGUUGUAAACCUCUUUUGUCAGGGAGCAAUUGGCGCUACGUGUAGCGUUAUCGAGAGUACCUGAAGAAAAAGCAUCGGCUAACUCCGUGCCAGCAGCCGCGGGAAUACGGAGGAUGCGAGCGUUAUCCGGAUUGAUUGGGUUUAAAGGGUGCGUAGGCGGAAUGCCAAGUCAGCGGUAAAAUCGCGGGGCUCAACCUCGCUCCGCCGUUGAAGCUGGCGUUCUUGAGUGGGCGAGAAGUAUGCGGAAUGCGUGGUGUAGCGGUGAAAUGCAUAGAUAUCACGCAGAACUCCGAUUGCGAAGGCAGCAUACCGGCGCCCAACUGACGCUGAAGCACGAAAGCGUGGGUAUCGAACAGGAUUAGAUACCCUAGUAGUC